GUAUUAUGCCGUAAAAUAACGGUAACUUCCUGCUGCCAGUAAAAUACCGUUAAUUUACCGUGACAUUUUUUUGAGUGUACUGCUAUUUAUAGGUCCCAAACCUCAGCAGCUCCUACACGAACCUUGUACUUCGGCACCUUGUGACCCCUGUUUACUUUCAGUCCGUUCACUCCAACAGAGAACGAGGCUCAUCCGCUGGAUCCUCUUUGUGUUCUUCAACCACCCUCAAGCCAAGGACAACAUCAUCGAGCGCUUCCUCUAUCAGCCUCAAGGAGUUUCAACCUACAGCAAAGAACCAUCGCUCAAGAACGUACAGCCUGCGGAAACGUGACAAGUGCUCCAGGACUUGGUGAAAGUCACUGAACAGACAAGGACCCGAUCACAGAAGUUGUGGAGUCCCUCCAUGUGAACUUUGAAUUUGACGCCGCUCAGAAGAAGCUGAGGGAGUGCGAGUCGGUGAGGAUUGCUUCCUGAAGUGUCUUCUGCAGCGUUUGUCACGGUGCACAGGCCUGAAUCAACCCCUUAUGAAAGUGAGCUGUCUCCCUGGACGGAGAGGGUAAUAUGAAGCUUCCCUCAGCUAUGGUGCUCUGAUCUUCUGAGCCCAAAGCAUUAAACUUUGCAGCCAUUCAGUCUCAGCAAAUCCAUGUCUGGCCUGAUUUGCUGCCUCUUAUUUUUUUACUUGUUUGGAUUUUCAAAGCGUAACAGCUGUCUGGGGCUCGCUGGCCCUUUCUUUAAAAAACCCAGAGACACUGCAGUGUUUCCGAUGGUUGUGUAUCGGGGAUCACUUUGGACAUUCUCUGAGCACCCCCAUCAGUUGGCUGUUACUGCUCUUGUGUAACUUAAGCAGUGAUUGCAAGAUACAGAGUCAGAUACAGAGAGCGAGCUCUCGUUGAAUCUGCUGAAUUUUAAUCGUCUGGGUAAUUUGAAUUUACAUGUUUUUGUUCACUUUCCCUCUAGAGAUCAACUUGUCUUAAUUACUGUAAAAACAAGUUAUUAAUAUAUUUUUUUUAAUGACGGUCUCCUUUUGUGUGAAGAUGAAAACCGGCUUGUUAAAAUCUCUUGUAAAUUUGUAAAGUAAUGUUUGUGCUCCGUUUUUAUGUGUUUACGACAGCAAAAUGGUUGAAUAAUUGUAUUUCUUACACAAUAACAUCUCCUUCUAAAAAUAAUGGUAUCACAUAUUUCAAUAUCCCAGACGCCACGCCAAUAUAUUCAUUAAUCUAAGCUCCUCUGGAGAUGUGAGAUGGUCAAACAUCCCAUUUGAUGUCUCUGUGUUUGUUGUUUGAAACCGGAUAGAGACGUCGCAACAUAAUCUUACACACACACACACACCUUAGGGCUCUGGUGAUCGCUUAAUGUUCUAAUAAGGUGAUGGAUUUAUGGAGAAAUAGCGUAUAGCAUCUUGUUGUCUUCUGGUAUUUAUAAAAAGUGAAACUUGGUGUAAAUGAGGCUUGGAUGUGUCAACGUUCCAGCUCAACUCAACAAAACCUCCUCAAUUACUCUCACAAUCAGCAGCUCAGCUUUCUCCCAAAGUACACCAUCAAAUUAGCAAACAAAUAUUUUGAAUUUUACAAAUACCAUUUGCGAGUGGUCUAAACCUGUCGAAGGAGUCGCGAGCAAUUACCUCAAUAUUCCACUAUUGGAAAGCAUAAUUCAUAACUUUGAAGUAAGAGAACCGUUUUUGAAUUACACAUCAUGUUGACAAUGUCCUGUUUAACUUAUUUAUUCAUUUGGCUUGACAAAAUCACCAUCCAUGUAAAUUUGCUAUCGAUGCUGUUGAAUUAUUGCAGGCCUUUUGGUUGUGGACGCAUUAGUAUGUUUUCCUUCAUUCAGUGUUGAUACGACCCUCGGGGAUCGAUUUCUUAACCAGUCUCUGCGUUCAGCUUUUGGUGCUGUUAAACGAUCCAAGCAGCACUGAAAUAUAGGAUGUACAGUAAAGAGCAGGAUGCGUAGCGUCAAGCUCCUUUGAACAAUUAUAUAAGUGAUCAAGCUUUGUUUCACGAUGCCUCAUUUGAUCAUUCUUCUCUUUCUUUACGGGGCUUGUUUGAAGGCAAAAAUUACUGUCCAUGAAUGUGAGAA